CGCUCCUUGGUAUUCCGAGGAGCAUGCCUGUUUGAGUGUCAUUAAUAUAUCAACUCUUCAGGUUUUGACUUGUCGAGUGUUUGGAUGUGGGGGUCUUUUGCUGGUCUCUUUUGAGGUCUGCUCCCCUAAAAUGCAUUAGCGGAACAAUUUGUUGACCCGUUCAUUGGUGUGAUAACUAUCUACGCUUUUGACGUGAAACAGGUUCAGCUUCUAACAGUCCCAUUGACUUGGACAAAUUUUCAUUAAUGUGACCUCAAAUCAGGUAGGACUACCCGCUGAACUUAAGCAUAUCAAUAAGCGGAGG
rnacentral:rRNA from 2 species